rnacentral:pre_miRNA from 15 species
CCUGCACUGGGAACCACCAGGCAGGCUGCCACUCUUUCCCUGUUGCACUACUGUUAAACUUGUAGCUAGCAGUGCAAUAAUGAAAGGGCGUCGGUCUGCCAGGGACCAGCCUUCCUCCAGU